rnacentral:tRNA from 1 species
GCGUCGGUGGUUCAGUGGUAGAAUACUCGCCUGCCACGCGGGUGGCCCGGGUUUGAUUUCCGGCCGACGCA